rnacentral:rRNA from 1 species
UAUUUGAAAUCUGAUCGAAGCCUAAUGGGAUCCUGAGUACGGCGAGACACGAGGAAUCUUGUCGGAAGCAGGCGGGACCAUCCGCCAAGGCUAAAUAUAAACGAGUGAGCGAUAGUGAACCAGUACCGUGAGGGAAAGGUGAAAAGAACCGCGGGAGCGGAGUGAAAGAGAACCUGAAACCGUAUGCCUACAAGAAGUCAGAGCCCGUUAAGGGGUGAUGGCGUGCCUUUUGUAGAAUGAACCGGCGAGUUGCGACAGACUGCGAGGUUAAGGAGGAAAGACCGGAGCCGAAGCGAAAGCGAGUCUUAAGAGGGCGAAAGUAGGAUGUUGCAGACCCGAAACCGGGUGAUCUAGCCAUGAGCAGGUUGAAGUUGAGGUGAAACUCAAUGGAGGACCGAACCGACUACCGUUGAAAAGUUAGCGGAUGACUUGUGGCUAGGGGAGAAAUUCCAAUCGAACCCGGAGAUAGCUGGUUCUCCCCGAAAUAGCUUUAGGGCUAGCGUCGGAAAGAACCUUAGUGAAGGUAGAGCACUGAAUGUGUGAUGGCCCCAUCCCGGGGUACUGAAUACAAUCAAACUGCGAAUGUCAUUAAGGAUGUCCGGCAGUCAGACUGUGAGUGAUAAGGUCCAUGGUCAAGAGGGAAACAGCCCAGACCGCCAGUUAAGGUCCCAAAAUACAGGCUAAGUGGAAAAGGAUGUGGGGAUGCCCAGACAACUAGGAGGUUGGCUCAGAAGCAGCCAUCCUUUAAAGAGUGCGUAACAGCUCACUAGUCGAGUGACCCUGCGCCGAAAAUGUACCGGGGCUAAGCCUGAUACCGAAACUGCGGAUUGUAGGAAACUAUAGUGGUAGGGGAGCGUUGUAUACGAGUAGAAGCCGUACCGUGAGGAGCGGUGGAUUGUAUAGAAGUGAGAAUGCCGGUGUGAGUAGCGAGAUGUAGGUGAGAAUCCUACACACCGAAAGCCCAAGGAUUCCAGGGGAAGGUUCGUCCGCCCUGGGUAAGUCGGGACCUAACGCGAGGCCGAAAGGCGUAGUGGAUGGAAAGCAGGCGAAAGAUUCCUGCACCCGUAUAUGGAGCGAAGGAGUGACGGAGACGGAUAGUGUGACCCUCUUAAUGGAUUGAGGGCGAAGCGAAGCGGCUGGUUACCAGGCAAAUCCGGUAACUGAAAGGCUAGAGCGUGACAGGUAAGCGAAAUCUUCGGAAAGUAGCGAAGCACAUGAUGACGGCUUCCAGGAAAAGCUUCUGGCAAUGCAUAUGCGGCCCGUACCAAAACCGACACAGGUGGGCAGGGAGAGAAUCCCGAGGUGAGCGAGAGAACUGUUGCCAAGGAACUCGGCAAAAUGACUCCGUAAGUUAGCGAGAAGGAGUGCUUAAGCAAUUAAGCCGCAGUGAAGAGGCCCAAGCGACUGUUUAACUAAAACACAGCUCUCUGCGAAGUCGCAAGACGAAGUAUAGGGGGUGACACCUGCCCGGUGCUGGAAGGUUAAGAGGAUCUGUUAAGAGCGAUCUGAAGCAGUGAUCCGAAGCCCCAGUGAACGGCGGCCGUAACUAUAACGGUCCUAAGGUAGCGAAAUUCCUUGUCAGGUAAGUUCUGACCCGCACGAAAGGUGUAACGAUUUGGGCGCUGUCUCGGCAGCAGACUCGGUGAAAUCUUAGUACCUGUGAAAAUGCAGGUUACCCGCAACUAGACGGAAAGACCCCAUGGAGCUUUACUGCAGCCUGAUAUUGAAUUCUGGUCAUACAUGUACAGGAUAGGUGGGAGACAAAGAGACGUGCACGCCAGUGUACGAGGAGUCGACGUUGGGAUACCACUCUUGUGUGACCGGGGUUCUAACCUGGUAUCGAAAACAGGUACGGGGAGAGUGUCAGGUGGGCAGUUUGACUGGGGCGGUCGCCUCCCAAAGAGUAACGGAGGCGCCCAAAGGUACGCUCAGAUUGGAUGGAAACCAAUCGCCGAGUGCAAUUGCAGAAGCGUGCUUGACUGUGAGACUUACAAGUCGAACAGGGACGAAAGUCGGGAAUAGUGAUCCGGCGGUGCCGAAUGGAAGGGCCGUCGCUCAACGGAUAAAAGCUACCCUGGGGAUAACAGGCU